rnacentral:misc_RNA from 1 species
UCCGGUUUGGCACCGGCAGUCCUCCCAGAGUCCUCGGCUCUACCCGGUAGCAACUGGGAGCGGGGGUUGCGCUCGUUGCGCCACUUAAGGCAACACCUCACGGCACGAGCUGACGACAGCCAUGCAGCACCUGUGCAGGCUCCCGAAGGAGCACCGGCUUUCACCGGUUUCACCCUGCAUGUCAAGGGCAGGUAAGGUUCUUCGCGUUGCAUCGAAUUAAACCACAUGCUCCACCGCUUGUGCGGGUCCCCGUCAAUUCCUUUGAGUUUUACCGUUGCCGGCGUACUCCCCAGGCGGAGAACUUAACGCGUUAGCUGCGCCACUAAGACCUCAAGGGCCCCAACGGCUAGUUCUCAUCGUUUACGGCGUGGACUAC